UAUUUAACUCCAAACUGUAACACAAAAAAGAAUUAAAAUAGAUUUUGAAUCCACCACAUAUCGAACCCGGGGAUAGAGAGACUUUUGAGUUAUAAAAAGCCUUGGUUUAACCGCUGGUCUGAGGAGAAUCAUCUGUUAAAGAAUAUUACAUAAGCAUACUUAACCCAAUUAAUAUAGGAUAGGUUUCCAAAACAAUACAUUUCGAUUGAAAAAAAACAAAACUCUUGCCGUCUCAACACUCUCGCCGUUUCAAACUUCUCGAAUCUCACUCGUCUCCGCCUCUCGAAUCUCUCUCUCAUCUCCAUAUCUCUCGAUCUCCGACGAAAACCCAUCUCCAGAACUCUCUCUCUCUCGAUCUUUUACGCGAGCUCUCUCUAUUCUCCGAGAAAAACCAUUUCUAGAGCUCUAUCUCUUGAAGGUAUGUUGCAGAUUCAACCUUAUGUGUGUUUUCUUUCUGAGAGAUUGGUCUCCUGGUUUUUGCUUGUGUAUAGACUUGCUCGUUUUAACCUAAUAUGAUUCGUAGAAUUCUAGUUCAUGUGAAAGCAUGUGUAUAGACUUCGGGAAGGAUUUGUAUUUUUUCAGGAAACCCUUCCUGAAAAUUGGAUUUUAAUUAAUUUAGACAAAUAAAAUUUUUCUUGUUUACGCAGGAUAGAAACAAGAUGGGAGAUCCAUUACCAUUAAGACUAGCACUGCCUGAGCUGAGGUAUCCGAUUGGAUCAGAGCCAGAGAAGACGAUAUCGAUAAACCAACACUCGAUAGUUGCUUAUAUCAAAACUGUUAAGGAAAUUCUAGGAAAUGAUGAGUUCAACAGAAUAAGAGGGACGUUUUUGGGACCGGUGAUCAAGCUUGGAGAGAGGUCUUUGAAAUUAUCAGCUAAGAUAGUGCACGCAGUUCUCACCAAAAGCAUCAAGACAGUGAAGAGACACGAAGCAUGGUUCCAUUUUGGUGCUCAGCCAAUGAGGUUCUCUAUAAGAGAAUUCCACAUGGUGACUGGUUUGAAAUGUAGUGGUGAAGCAAGAGAACCACGAGAGGGAACCGAGAAAUUUAAGUGGGACUUCCUAAAAGGGCGUACUCAUACAGUAAAGGACGUGGAGAAGCAGCUCAGAAACACAAGAGAAGAUGCUUCUGAUGAGAGAUUCUGCCUUGCAAUGCUCCUCCUGAUUGAGAGCAUACUACUACAGAAGAGCCUUCUCGACGGUGGCACAACUUUUACUUUGGAUUAUGUGAAAAUAGCGCAGGAUAUGGAUGUCUUGAUGACAUACCCAUGGGGGAGAACAGCUUAUAAUUUGCUGUUAAAAUCACUUCAGAGAGCUGUCGACAAAAGCCUCGACAAAAACAAUUAUGAUUUGCAAGGGUUCCCUAUGGCAUUUCUUAUAUGGAUACUUGAGUCAGUACCUUUGCUACAGUAUGCAUUCAGUCAAGUUGUUCCUAUUCUGAGCGUUCAACCGUCUACCCCAAUAUUUUUGUGUGAGAAGUACCUUCAAAUAGCUUCUCCACAGCUGAUAGAUGUUCUCCUAAUUGAAAUCAAAGAUCAUCUUAAGGUCACAUGCAUCCUACCUCCUAUUUCUAAUGAUCCAGAAGCUGAUGUUUGCAUGGAAGACGAAGCUAAUAAAGAUCUGGAUGACAUGGCCGAUUUAUCCAAGAGAGGUUAUAAGUUUAAAAUUAGAGAUUGGCGAAACAUGUCAGUAGACCUAUACGGUGCUAAUGAACAAAUAAGAAGAGCAUCUUUACUGUUUGGGAAUGGAGGGAUGAGUCAAGCUUCUUCUUCGUAUCAGGAGGAGUCUUUGGAAUCAAAGAUCAACAGAAUCAGCGAGAUGGUGGGAGAUAAUUUAAGGAUCAUGAACGAUCGUUUGUGUUUGAUUGAAAAAGACAGGAAACAGAUUAAAGAACGUGUGACAAAACUAGAGAAACUACAAAGAGUUACUUCAUAUGAAACCCCAAACAAUGAGACUGACACAACUCCAUUUCAUGAGACGGCUUCCAGACAAGGUGAAGCCAAUGCAGAUCAAGCAGAUGAACAACUUAACAAUGAGGAUACACGAGAGCCUAUGAAUGAGAUCACGAAAGAGACACCUGGUUCUCCAAUAGCUCAACAGAAUAUUGAGACUCCAGUCCUUACUCCAAUUCAGACGCAGCAGGAGACUCACGAGCUUAUGAAUGAGAUCAUUUCACCAAACAUUUCCGACACACAGCCAAAUACCCGAGCUCGCAGAAAUCUUUUAACAGAGCAAAAUAAGGAUGUAGAAAGCAGAGUUCAAAAUCCCUUUGAGAUCGGAGCAAAUGUGGAGAUUUCAUCACAAGAUGACAAUACUUGCCAUAAAUGGUAUCCAGGAAAUGUGUUGGCAACAUAUUUGGUUGAUGGGGUUGAGAUGGUGAAAGUUGAGUACUUCGUCCCGUCUCUGGACGAAAAGAAAAGGAAAAGGAGUGUUGAGACACGUGUAUCAAUUGACAGAAUACGUCCUCAACCACCACCUGAGAGAUCUGGAGCGAAGAAAAGUUAUGAGCUAAUGCAGGACGUGGAGGCGUUCGACAAUGGUGCCUGGUGCGCUGGAAAAGUUAAAGUCAUUUUGUUUGAUGGCUCGUGUUUUGUCUCUUUGAACAAUUCUAAAGAACAAAUUUACUUCCACCAUUCUGAGAUGCGAAAACCAAGAAAAUGGGUAGAUGGUGUUUGGGAGAUGACAAAAAAGAUGGAAGAAGAGCAGACGCAGAGUGUGAAUCCAAGUGAAGGAGAUGGUGAUAAAAAGGUAUGAAAUAUUUAUACAUCAUACUAGGAAUUAAGAUAUAAAUGUAUCUGAAUUUUUGUCAUUCAAAAAGGGGAAGGCGAAGGCUGUCGCUUGUAAGAAAAAGAAGCAGCUGGUCCAUCAGAAGAUGGUGUUGGGAAAAUGGCAAAAGAGGUAAUAAAAAUGAAUAAGAUCCACUUGAAUUGAAGUUCAGGUCAAUAGUUUGAUAUAUCGGUUUUGUUUCACAGAUGGAAGUAAAGCAGGGUAAGAGUGUGAAACCAAGUCAAGACGAUCAUGCAAAAAAGGGGAAGCCUGAUGUUGGUAAGAAGAAGAAAGCAAAUGCUCAGCCAGUAGAUAUGCUUCCUUUUCUACAGCGAGAAGAGAAGAGGCCAAUA